GGUGGCUUAGUGGUAGAGUGCUUGCCUUGUAUGCAUGAGCCCCUGAGUUCAAUUCCUCAGCACCA
rfam:Dipodomys ordii contig_25448, whole genome shotgun sequence.